CACUGUUAGUCGGGGUGUCAGAUGAUGGCUGAGAAAUACCCGUGAACCUGAGACAGAUAAUGCUGGCGUAGGAAACUAAUCUAAUCGUUCA
rnacentral:ncRNA from 2 species